UAAGGUGGUUAGAGCAACGGGGCUCACCUCUUACCUUUCCGAACAGAGAAGUUAAGCCCGUUAGCGCCGAUGAUACUGCAUCGCGGGAAAGUAGGUCGCCGCCUUCU
rnacentral:rRNA from 1 species